rnacentral:lncRNA from 1 species
GACCAGCUUGGUCCAAGCCAGCCAAGCAGGCUGAGAAAGCCAAAAGCAGUGUUCUGCAUGGCUCUGCUUCAGGUCCCACCUCCACUCUCCUGUGUUGAGCUCCGGUACUAGCUUUUCCUCAUGAGGGACUAUAAGCUCUCUAUUCUGUUCAUUUUUUAAAAAAAAAUUUUUUUUGAUAGAUGCUAACAAUCUAUUCUCUAAAUACUAUCUCUGAGCUUGUUUAAUUCUAUUACAAGUAUUAUAUACUACAUCACAUUCAAAUUUCCCUCCAGCACAUAAGUCCAGGGCACCAAUGUCCUUACCACAUGAGCCAUCUUGCUGGUCCUGCUCUGUAGUUUUACAUUAACUUUUGUUUUUGUAUUGCUAGGGAUCCAUCCUAGGUGACCUACAUCACCACUGAAUGUCACCACUAGCCCUGGGGGCACAGUUUUGCUCUCCAAUUACGUAUAAAACCAUGGAGUGCCUUUGUCUCUUUUUGUGCAUGACCUUUAAAAACUUAUUUCUUUAUUUUGAGAUACAUUGUCUCAUUUAUCUUUGUAGCACUGGCCAGCCAGCCUGGAAUUUACUACUAUGUAAUCCAUAGACACCUUGAAUUUGUGGCAAGCCUCUUGUCUCUGCCUCCCAAGGGCCAGGAUUAUAAGAGUGUGGGAGCUCCCACACCCCACUGAAAGAUCUGUUUUUAUGUCAAGGUCACAUUGUUUGGGUUUUACAGUCUUGUAAUUUGUUUUGUGAUGUUUGGUGUUUGAAAGAGGGUCUUGCUUUAUAGCCUCAAACUAACCAUCCUCCUAUUUCAGCUUCUAAAUGCUCCUAUUAAAGGUAUGUCCUUGGUUGUAUGAUUUG